CCUACGGGAGGCAGCAGUGAGGAAUAUUGGUCAAUGGCCGGAAGGCUGAACCAGCCAAGCCGCGUGAAGGACGAAGGUGCCAAGCAUUGUAAACUUCUUUUGUCAAGGGACACAAUCAGGCUCGAGAGCCUGACCGAGGGUACUUGAAGAAAAAGCAUCGGCUAAAUCCGUGCCAUCAGCCGCGGUACAACGGAGGAGGCGAGCGUUAUACAGAUUUAUUGGGUUAAAUGGGUGCGUAGGCGGACUGUUAAGUCAGCGGUAAAUGCCCGGGGCUAAGCCACGGCGAGCCGUUGAAACUGGCGGUCUUGAGAUGUCGAGAGGUAUGCGGAAUGCGAAGUGUAGCGGUGAAAUGCUUAGAUAUUGCGAAGAACUCCGAUUGCGAAGGCAGCAUACCGGCGGCGAUCUGACGCUGAGGCACGAAAGCGUGGGUAUCGAACAGGAUUAGAUACCCGAGUAGUC
rnacentral:rRNA from 1 species